GGAUGUCCCAAGUAUGAUCCAACACAUUCCCGUUCUGAUAUAACAAUUAAGUAUGACCCUGCUACAAGCUUAAGCAUUCCAACUACACCAAAAAUAGUCCUAAUUUUAGGAACACGAAGAGAGCUGCAUUCUGGAACUCCAUCAAUGAGUUUCAUGGAACCAUCAGCACGACUAACAGCCAAAGGAGAACUAGAAGAUCCAUCGGUUGGUUCAAUCACAUACUCAUCUGGAAAUUC
rnacentral:misc_RNA from 1 species